rnacentral:tRNA from 1 species
GGCAUGGCCAAUCGGGUGGGUGGGUUUGAACCCUUCCUUAUGAGGGUUUGGAGUCCUUCUCAUGCUU